GAAACGGUAGCUAAUACCGCAUAACGUCGCAAGACCAAAGAGGGGGACCUUCGGGCCUCUUGCCAUCGGAUGUGCCCAGAUGGGAUUAGCUAGUAGGUGGGGUAACGGCUCACCUAGGCGACGAUCCCUAGCUGGUCUGAGAGGAUGACCAGCCACACUGGAACUGAGACACGGUCCAGACUCCUACGGGAGGCAGCAGUGGGGAAUAUUGCACAAUGGGCGCAAGCCUGAUGCAGCCAUGCCGCGUGUAUGAAGAAGGCCUUCGGGUUGUAAAGUACUUUCAGCGGGGAGGAAGGGAGUAAAGUUAAUAC
rnacentral:rRNA from 1 species